rnacentral:rRNA from 1 species
AUGAACACCAUGGCCGUGCAGCAAGUCGCAUGCUACCUCCUCUGCAUCGUCCUGACUCUGCUUCUCCCUCCGCUGCUCCUCAAGCUCGUGAAACGUGGCGGCAACAAUAGCCUCAACCUGCCGCCGGGCCCGUGGAAGCUGCCGGUGAUCGGCAACCUCCACCAGGUCGCGCGCGGCGGGCCGCUGGUCCACCGCACCAUGGCCAACCUCGCGCGCCGGCUCGACGCGCCGCUCAUGUGCCUGCAGCUUGGCGAGCUCCGCGUCGUCGUGGCCUCGUCCGCCGACGCCGCCCGGGAGAUCAUGAAGACGCAGGACGCCACCUUCGCGACGCGCCCCUGGAACGCCACCACGCGGCUGCUGAGGGCCGACGGCGAGGGCCUCGUGUUCGCGCGCUAUGGCGCCCUGUGGCGGCAGCUCCGCAAGCUGUGCGUCGCGGAGCUGCUCAGUGCCCGGCGCGUCCGCUCGUUCUGCCGCGCGAGGGAGGAGGAGGCCCGCCGCCUCGUCGCGGCCGUCGCCGAGUCGGCGUCCUCGGGCCAGGCCGUGAACAUCAGCGAGCGGAUCGCCACGGUCGUGGCGGACUCGACGAUGCGCGCCAUGAUCGGGGACAGGUUCGAGAGGCGGGAGGAGUUUCUGGAGGAGCUGGCGGAGAUCAUCAAGGUCGGCGCGGGGUUCAGCCUGGACGACAUGUUCCCGUCGUGGAGGCUCGCGAGCGCCGUCGGCGGCAUGGCGCGCCGCGCGGAGCUUAACCACCGCAAGACGUACGAGCUCAUGGACUGCGUCUUCCGGCAGCACCGGCAGCUGAGAGAGGCCGUAGCUGAAGGCGCCAUCAACGAAGAGGAGGAAGACCUUGUGGACGUGCUCCUUGGAUACAGAAGGAAGGCGGCCUCGAGGUGCCUCUCACCACGGGAAACAUCAAAGCCGUCAUCCUUGACCUCUUCAACGCCGGGAGCGAGACGUCAGCGAAUACACUCCAAUGGGCCAUGUCAGAGCUAA